rnacentral:rRNA from 1 species
UACGUAGGGUGCAAGCGUUGUCCGGAAUUAUUGGGCGUAAAGAGCUCGUAGGCGGUUUGUCGCGUCUGCUGUGAAAACUCAGGGCUUAACCCUGAGCUUGCAGUGGGUACGGGCAGACUAGAGUGCGGUAGGGGAGACUGGAAUUCCUGGUGUAGCGGUGAAAUGCGCAGAUAUCAGGAGGAACACCGGUGGCGAAGGCGGGUCUCUGGGCCGUAACUGACGCUGGAGGAGCGAAAAGCAUGGGGAGCGAACAGGAUUAGAUACCCCCUG